AUGCAUUAUUCCUGGCUUUUUCUAUUAGUUUUGUCAUCUCAUCAUAUGCAGCUUUGCGUUGAUUUUUGAGAUGAUAUACACGUGCCAGACCUUGAUGUGCUCUUGUAUGUUUGAUAUUGAGUGCAUUCAUGUAACAGUCGGCAGCAAGAUCCAGCUUAUCACAAUCAACAUAGACGCUCCCUAGAUUAUUGAGGGCUUGUCCUUUCCUGAGGCCAUCUGAAGGGCAUCUAAGAGCUUCCUCCAGAAGUUCAAUAACAUACAUUGAUGACUCAGAAUCAAGACUAGAAUCUGCCAAAGCAUAUGCCUUAAGGAAAAAAGCUUCAAAUGAUCUCUGAAUCGAAAUGGACUCCUCAGCCUUAGCAAGGGCUUCUUCUCGAUGGCCAGUGUCAUACAGAAUCCAUCCUUCAUAAACAAGCCUUUCAUGCUCAGAAGCAGAAAAAUUUCUAGCCAACCGCAAACUACGCAUGGCAGCCUUUUGACAAUUUAACCGUAAAAGUAGAAGAGAUUGCCGAAAACGUAGGAGGCUCUUCCCUGGGUCAUUUGCCAGCAUAUGGUGUACAACAGC
rnacentral:misc_RNA from 1 species